GGAAGGUCAAACCAAGAUUGACAAGUAGCACAUCACAAAAAAAGUUUAUAACAGAUAUAGAAGUGACAAUAAAUAAGUUUUUCAAGAUUUACAAUGAACUACAUGAUUUGGCUUCUUGCUCUAAAAUAGAAAUCUGCAGCACUAACUUGGUGACAAUCCCACCAAUUCAACGACAAUGGACAUAUUUUCUACACUUCACUCCUUGCGGCUUGUAGAGUCAAAGGGCUACGACCAUCAUUGCAGAAAAGGAAAAAAUUAACAAUAGUUCUUGCAUGAAUGAGUCGUCAGGUAAUCAUGUGAGUCUACUAUAUAUAAACUAUAGGCAAAAUUCAGCAACAAAGGUAACAUGCGUAGUGAGAAACUGGAUAACAGAAGGAAUACUUUCAACCAAGUCUAGAGGAACACAUACUAUGCCCAGGAACUUUUCACUGACGUAACAAUGCAACUAUUCAUAGCAACAAAAUUUAUACAGAAAAGGGGGAUACUCCUACUCAAACAACAACAACAAAGCCUUUAGUUUGAAACACUCCUAGUCAACCUCCCUAAAAUUUAACCGGAUUUCAUCUGAUAACCUAGAGGCCAGCUGGAGAUUGAGCAAUAUUGGAAUAUACAUAUAUAUUUCAAACAAAUUAAUGAACUGGGAUGAACGGAUCUUAGAAGGAUAGCCUCACUUGGGGCUUUGGAACUUGAGUAUCUCCAUGGCUAAUCAAGGCUUAGAGAGGCAGCAGUUAAAGCAUCAGUCGAGUUAAGGUAUGCCGUUAUCAAUCCUUCUUUUAGUAAUCUGAACACGACGUUAGUAAUGCCAAGGCAAAUACCUUGAUACCCUGUUCAUGGUCAUCUCGUUACUGAAAAAUAAAUGUAAAACUGGCCUGCAAGAUAAAAGCAUUUCCCAGUACCUAAAUGUACAACCUGGGAUCGUCAGUGCUCUUAACAUUCAGUUACUGGGAAUACCACUGGAUGAAAUUAUAGUGCAAACUCCAGGUCUUAUAAAUUUUAAUACAUUCAACAACUAAGACUUUGAGCCAUGAGAUUAUAUGUCAAUAGUUACAUUUAAGCUUGUGAGAGCAUAAAUCAAUCAUAAAAAGGUAGAAAGAAUAAGCUCCAGAACACAAUAAGGGCUUAAACUACUUAUUUGAAAACAGUGGAACAAAUCAUUAAAUCUAACUAAUUUUAAAUGAUCCAGUUUUAAGAAUUAAUAUGGUACAGCUAAGAGAAGGCUACAAAAUCAUCAAUCAAGAAGACUCUAUAUAAGAUUGAUAAUUAGAGACAACUGUCACUGCUCGGUCACAUACCGUGGUCGACAUGAGCAAUGACAGACAUGUUAUGGAUAAUUUUUUAUCCACAAUUCCACGGAGCUCCUCCGUUCUAAACCUCACCGUUUUGACUGCUUUUGAAUGUCACACCAGGAAUACCCUUCCUGCUCUAAUAAUAGCAAGCUAUCAGAAUCAAGCAAUAAUAUAGUGUGAAUAACUGAACAUGGAAAUCCGACAGUAAUAUAUACUGACGAUCCUUUAAAGUAAUUAUGACCACAUUUGUCUACUCAAAGCUCAAAAGUGCACUUAACAAUCAUGUACAACAAUUAGUUUUAUACACUGCCACCAAAAUAUUUUAACCAACACUUCGACCAACAGCCCCGGUGAAGUGAAAUAUAUAAUUAAUAUGGUCAAUCGAGCAUAUUAUAUUAAUGUAUUAGAACUAAUAAAAGUGCACUGAGAAGGCAGCCAUAAAGCAAGAACAACCACUGCUAAGGGCACUGAUGAUCACAGUAAUGAGAAAAAGUAACACAUGGCAAUAACAAAGAAACGUAAUCCAUUAUGAAGAGAGGAUGCAGGUGGAAAGAAACGUAAUCCAAAAAAUAAGACUAAUAUAGACAAGCAUCAAAAACUAAUACUACUAUUGACACACCUCUGACACUAAGACUAUAUAUAGACAAGCCUCCAAAAGUAAGGCUAAUGGAACACGAAGUAGUACCUCCUGCAAUUUCUUCAAUCUAAUUCUGAUUCUAUGGGAAAAGGUUGCAACGAGAGGAAUAGCCUGCAAAAAUAGAUAGAUCAAAUGUUGUACAAGUCAAAAAAAGUUACUGCUAGCCAUAGUGCAUACAUUCUAUUUCUUAUUGUACUUUUUGCAACAUACUACAACUCAGAGCAGAUACAUGACAUAUCUUGGUAAUGCCACAAUGGUUAUUAUCGACUGGAAUCAGUUGUCCAGAUUUUUACUGGUAAAUCAAUUCAGUUUACAUGCAACUAACAAAAUUUUAUAGGGAAAUGUUGUACUGAUAUCAUGGUGGCGCAAGCAUAGAAGUUGUUACAGAGUGGAAAGAACAGUCUAGAUUUUCAGUACUGAAUAUGUCCGUCUAGCAUCGCAAAAAGCUACAGUUAAGCCUCUCGCAUGCUAAUUAUCUAUGUUGAAGCCGGUAGAAAACCUACACUUACAAUGGCACAUAGAAAAACAAGGGAAUGUAGCUUUUUGCAAUGCGAGAGGCUUAACUGUAGAAAACCUACACUUACAAUGGCACGUAGAAAAACUACUGCAGUUGAAGGAAUCACCGCCACCACAAAAGGCGAGAAAAUAGAAGCUUCAGCUAACACCGAGUCAUAAUAUUAUAGUAGAUAGCUCCAAGAAGAAAUAGAUUAUAUGUACUUUGAGCUGCCACUAAGUUGUGAGUUGCUGUCUAGCGGCCACAACUUCCCUUUGAGCCGCCAUAGCCACUGUUUCCACAUGUGUAGGUUGCUGCUGCCAACAACUCUUAUUUAUCUGCACCCUCCUUUUUACAAAAGAAUAUAAGGUUUAGUGGUUUAAACAUUUACUUCCUCAAAUAGUCCAAUACUAAUUGCUUCAAACGACAAGUGCUAUCUUUCAAUCCCCCCUUCCUAGUCAAGAGGUAGAUCAUCACACUGGAACUGCUUUAGGGCUCAUAGCCUAAUGCUAGAGACAAGCAAAAUUUGUUCUUGGUAAAUUAUCAGCAAACAACUGUGACAUGCCGCCUGAGCACUUCUACUGAGGGGCUCCAAACCCCAGGCCCCCAACUUCAUUUUUGAAUUUGAGUUCAGUAGCAUGUCGUCAUCCUCAUGAGCACUCCCGUCCAGGUACAUAAAGAAGAAAAACAGUGACACUUACAUUAGGAAAUACCUACAGGAUCCAUGUGUACAGGUAGUGAGGCAAUUGAAAUUGGCCCAAAAGACAUAACUUCAGUGCUGGAAGAGUCGCACUGUCGACCACACUCUGAGUCUUGGCUGCUUGAUCCAUCCCAUUGUGGUCGUCGGUG
rnacentral:lncRNA from 1 species